rnacentral:rRNA from 1 species
UACGGGGGGGGCAAGCGUUGUUCGGAAUUACUGGGCGUAAAGGGCUCGUAGGUGGCCAACUAAGUCAGACGUGAAAUCCCUCGGCUUAACCGGGGAACUGCGUCUGAUACUGGAUGGCUUGAGUUUGGGAGAGGGAUGCGGAAUUCCAGGUGUAGCGGUGAAAUGCGUAGAUAUCUGGAGGAACACCGGUGGCGAAGGCGGCACUCUGGGCCGGUACUGACGCUGAGGAGCGAAAGCGUGGGGAGCAAACAGG